UUUAAAUGUUAAUUCAUACUGUAAACAUUACCCUCUACAGCUGCGAGAGGGCGCUCUAGGCUUGUGACAACUAUAUGCUGCUCCUAAAGACAACUGAGAAAGACUAAAGAGGUAAACUGCAAGUAGUAAAA